AUUGAACGCUGGCGGCAGGCCUAACACAUGCAAGUCGAGCGGCAGCGGGAAAGUAGCUUGCUACUUUUGCCGGCGAGCGGCGGACGGGUGAGUAAUGCCUGGGAAAUUGCCCAGUCGAGGGGGAUAACAGUUGGAAACGACUGCUAAUACCGCAUACGCCCUACGGGGGAAAGCAGGGGACCUUCGGGCCUUGCGCGAUUGGAUAUGCCCAGGUGGGAUUAGCUAGUUGGUGAGGUAAUGGCUCACCAAGGCGACGAUCCCUAGCUGGUCUGAGAGGAUGAUCAUCCACACUGGAACUGAGACACGGUCCAGACUCCUACGGGAGGCAGCAGUGGGGAACAUUGCACAAUGGGGGAAACCCUGAUGCAGCCAUGCCGCGUGUGUGAAGAAGGCCUUCGGGUUGUAAAGCACUUUCAGCGAGGAGGAAAGGUUGAUGCCUAAUACGUAUCAACUGUGACGUUACUCGCAGAAGAAGCACCGGCUAACUCCGUGCCAGCCGCCGCAGUAA
rnacentral:rRNA from 1 species